rnacentral:rRNA from 1 species
GCAGUCGAACGGCAGCACGAGAGAGCUGGCUCUCUUGGUGGCGAGUGGCGGAGGGGUGAGUAGUAUAUCGGAACGUGCCCUGUAGCGGGGGAUAACUACUCGAAAGAGUGGCUAACACCGCAAACGCCCUACGGGGGAAAGGGGGGGAUCGCAAGACCUCUCACUAUUGGAGCGGCCGAUAUCGGAUUAGCUAGUUGGUGGGGUAAAGGCUCACCAAGGCAACGAUCCGUAGCUGGUUUGAGAGGACGACCAGCCACACUGGGACUGAGACACGGCCCAAACUCCUACGGGAGGCAGCAGUGGGGAAUUUUGGACAAUGGGGGAAACCCUGAUCCAGCCAUCCCGCGUGUAUAAUGAAGGCCUUCGGGUUGUAAAGUACUUUUGGCAGAGAAAAAGAGGUACCUCCUAAUACGAGGUACUGCUGACGGUAUCUGCAGAAUAAGCACCGGCUAACUACGUGCCAGCAGCCGCGGUAAUACGUAGGGUGCAAGCGUUAAUCGGAAUUACUGGGCGUAAAGCGUGUGUAGGCGGUUCGGAAAGAAAGAUGUGAAAUCCCAGGGCUUAACCUUGGAACUGCAUUUUUAACUGCCGAGCUAGAGUAUGUCAAAGGGGGGUAGAAUUCCACGUGUAGCAUUGAAAUGCGUAGAUAUGUGGAGGAAUACCGAUGGCGAAGGCAGCCCCCUGGGAUAAUACUGACGCUCAGACACGAAAGCGUGGGGAGCAAACAGGAUUAGAUACCCUGGUAGUCCACGCCCUAAACGAUGUCAACUAGCUGUUGGGGCCGUUAGGCCUUAGUAGCGCAGCUAACGCGUGAAGUUGACCGCCUGGGGAGUACGGUCGCAAGAUUAAAACUCAAAGGAAUUGACGGGGACCCGCACAAGCGGUGGAUGGAUGUGGAUUAAUUCGAUGCAACGCGAAAAACCUUACCUACCCUUUGACAUGUCUGGAAUGCCCGAAAAGAUUUGGCAGUGCUCGCAAGAGAACCGGAACACAGGUGCUGCAUGGCUGUCGUCAGCUCGUGUCGUGAGAUGUUGGGUUAAGUCCCGCAACGAGC